ACAAAACAAGGAUUACCCUUGCACCUUCACACAGUACUGCAACAACACUCCAGGAGGAUUUCAGUGCUCUUGCCCAUCGAGCAUGAUUGAUAAUGGUUACAGGUCAGGGACGGGAUGCACUCCCUUGGUUUUAGUUCCACCUCCACCUAGUCCUGGUUCCCCCUUGCAACGACAACCCCAAGGACCUAAAGCAUGCCACAGGGCAUAAGUGGAGAUGGCAUGACUAAGGGGAAUGGCUGCCAAACGGGUCGAAAGAACUUCCCCAUCACUAUGGUAACUCAUCAGCUUCUGGAGUGCUACCUUUAUUUUUAACCUAAAAAAACUACAGAUUCUGAACAAACAGUUGAAAAAAACAUAAUAUCUACAUAAGCUAUUGAAUGCAAAUCGUUUUGUGAUGUUCAUAGCAGAGUAACUGAUGCAUAACAUUUAGCUCAUGGCAUAUGUUGAAUAUUACAGUCCAACAGGUCACCAUGCCAAAUCUAAACCACUGAAUCGUGCUAAAUGAACAUGAAUCUGAAAUUGAAGAAAAAUAAAAUAAGUC